AUGGCAACAUUAGAUGUUUAUGAGUCUCUGGCUGUCAAGGCGGGACAAAUAGUAUCUGCUGAAAUCUGGGUAGAGAAUUACCAAAAGGAGAAGCCUAAUGAUGUUAAUGUUGUACAAGUUGGAUGGAACAUUCAACCUUCUUACUAUGGUGACAACAAAACACAUUUCUUGAUAGGAUGGACGGCCAAUGGAAACAAGACGAAGGGAUGUUUCGAUUUGAAAUGUGAUGGAUUUGUACUAGUUAAAAAUCCUCCAAUCACUCCAGGAGGUACUCUUGAGGGGAAAGCUAAGAUAUCUGUCAAGAUAUUCAAGAGUAACAAGAAUGGAGAUUGGUGGUUACACUUUGCCCAUGUUGGUGAAAAGUUUGCUCCGGUGGGGUUUUGGCCACGCAGUCUUUUCCAAAGCUUGUCCGAUCAUGCAAAUUAUGUAACUUGGGGCGGCUACACUAGCUCUCUUGUGAGGACUCCUAGCCCUCCCAUGGGCAAUGGACGCUGGCCGGGAGGAGAUUCUGCUUCAUUUCAAAAUGUGCAAUAUGUCAACAAUGAUGGGCAUGGUUAUCUUCGAAUGCCUAACCUUCGUUCUAGGGUAACCGAUACGGCAUGUUAUCGAGUUAGUGAAUUCAUGACUGGCAAGUUCAGCUAUGGAGGACCCGGUGGAUGUGUUAAUUAG
rnacentral:rRNA from 1 species